UACGUAGGGUGCAAGCGUUAAUCGGAAUUACUGGGCGUAAAGCGUGCGCAGGCGGUUUUGUAAGUCUGACGUGAAAAUCCCCCGGGCUUAACCUGGGGAAUUGCGUUGGAGACUGCAAGGCUGGAGUCUGGCAGAGGGGGGGUAGAAUUCCACGUGUAGCAGUGAAAUGCGUAGAGAUGUGGAGGAACACCGAUGGCGAAGGCA
rnacentral:rRNA from 1 species